rnacentral:rRNA from 1 species
AGAAUCAACGCUGGCGGCGUGCCUAACACAUGCAAGUCGAACGAGAAAGUGGAGCAAUCCAUGAGUAAAGUGGCGCACGGGUGAGUAACACGUGACUAACCUACCCUUGAGUGGGGAAUAACCUAGGGAAACCUGGGCUAAUACCGCAUAACACCUACGGGUCAAAGGAGCAAUUCGCUUAAGGAGGGGUCGCGGCAGAUUAGCUAGUUGGCGGGUAAUGGCCCACAAGGCAGUGAUCUGUA